rnacentral:pre_miRNA from 1 species
UGUUUUUAAGAGAGACAAAAGAAACACGUUCUACAAGGAACGUUUUCAUCGAUGUGGUAUUGAAAACAUGUCCUGUAAGACGUGUUUUCACUUUGUUAAAAUUAUUUUCAUUCUGUCAUAAGUUUUAGUAUCGAUGAUUAUACAGUCUAUAUGGGAAUUUUUUUUUAACAAAGUGAAAAUGAGUCUUACAAGGCAUGUUUUCACUGCCAUAUUAGUGAAAACGUGCCUUGUAGGACGCGUUUUUUGUUUCUCUCUCUAAAAAUAA